GACGAACGCUGGCGGCGUGCUUAACGCAUGCAAGUCGAACGAAGAGCGAUGGAAGCUUGCUUCUCUCAAUCUUAGUGGCGAACGGGUGAGUAACGCGUAAUCAACCUGCCCUUCAGAGGGGGACAACAGUUGGAAACGACCGCUAAUACCGCAUACGAUCUAAUCUCGGCAUCGAGGAUAGAUGAAAGGUGGCCUCUACAUGUAAGCUAUCACUGAAGGAGGGGAUUGCGUCUGAUUAGCUAGUUGGAGGGGUAACGGCCCACCAAGGCGAUGAUCAGUAGCCGGUCUGAGAGGAUGAACGGCCACAUUGGGACUGAGACACGGCCCAGACUCCUACGGGAGGCAGCAGUGGGGAAUCUUCCGCAAUGGACGAAAGUCUGACGGAGCAACGCCGCGUGAGUGAUGACGGCCGUCGGGUUGUAAAGCUCUGUUAAUCGGGACGAAAGGCCUUCUUGCGAAUAGUGAGAAGGAUUGACGGUACCGGAAUAGAAAGCCACGGCUAACUACGUG
rnacentral:rRNA from 1 species